rnacentral:rRNA from 1 species
UACGUAGGGUGCAAGCGUUGUCCGGAAUUAUUGGGCGUAAAGAGCUCGUAGGCGGUCUGUUGCGUCGGCUGUGAAAACCCGAGGCUCAACCUCGGGCCUGCAUUCGAUACGGGCAGGCUAGAGUUCGGUAGGGGAGACUGGAAUUCCUGGUGUAGCGGUGAAAUGCGCAGAUAUCGAGAGGAACACCUGCGGCGAAGGCGGGUUGCUGGGCUGACACUGACGCUGACAGCGCGAAAGCUAGGGGAGCGAACGGG